UGGAUCGAUGAUGGCCACUGGUGGCAUAUGAGCCUUAGAUGAUGAACAUGUCUCUGAAGCUCCGAGGUCUGU